AGAGUUUGAUCCUGGCUCAGGAUGAACGCUAGCGACAGGCUUAACACAUGCAAGUCGAGGGGCAGCGGGGGUAGCAAUACCCGCCGGCGACCGGCGCACGGGUGAGUAACGCGUAUGCAACUUACCUAUCAGAGGGGGAUAACCCGGCGAAAGUCGGACUAAUACCGCAUGAAGCAGGGGCCCCGCAUGGGGAUAUUUGCUAAAGAUUCAUCGCUGAUAGAUAGGCAUGCGUUCCAUUAGGCAGUUGGCGGGGUAACGGCCCACCAAACCGACGAUGGAUAGGGGUUCUGAGAGGAAGGUCCCCCACAUUGGUACUGAGACACGGACCAAACUCCUACGGGAGGCAGCAGUGAGGAAUAUUGGUCAAUGGCCGAGAGGCUGAACCAGCCAAGUCGCGUGAGGGAUGAAGGUUCUAUGGAUCGUAAACCUCUUUUAUAAGGGAAUAAAGUGCGGGACGUGUCCCGUUUUGUAUGUACCUUAUGAAUAAGGAUCGGCUAACUCCGUGCCAGCAGCCGCGGUAAUACGGAGGAUCCGAGCGUUAUCCGGAUUUAUUGGGUUUAAAGGGUGCGUAGGCGGCCUUUUAAGUCAGCGGUGAAAGUCUGUGGCUCAACCAUAGAAUUGCCGUUGAAACUGGGGGGCUUGAGUAUGUUUGAGGCAGGCGGAAUGCGUGGUGUAGCGGUGAAAUGCAUAGAUAUCACGCAGAACCCCGAUUGCGAAGGCAGCCUGCCAAGCCAUUACUGACGCUGAUGCACGAAAGCGUGGGGAUCAAACAGGAUUAGAUACCCUGGUAGUCCACGCAGUAAACGAUGAUCACUAGCUGUUUGCGAUACACUGUAAGCGGCACAGCGAAAGCGUUAAGUGAUCCACCUGGGGAGUACGCCGGCAACGGUGAAACUCAAAGGAAUUGACGGGGGCCCGCACAAGCGGAGGAACAUGUGGUUUAAUUCGAUGAUACGCGAGGAACCUUACCCGGGUUUGAACGCAUUCGGACCGAGGUGGAAACACCUUUUCUAGCAAUAGCCGUUUGCGAGGUGCUGCAUGGUUGUCGUCAGCUCGUGCCGUGAGGUGUCGGCUUAAGUGCCAUAACGAGCGCAACCCUUGCCACUAGUUACUAACAGGUGAUGCUGAGGACUCUGGUGGGACUGCCAGCGUAAGCUGCGAGGAAGGCGGGGAUGACGUCAAAUCAGCACGGCCCUUACAUCCGGGGCGACACACGUGUUACAAUGGCGUGGACAAAGGGAAGCCACCUGGCGACAGGGAGCGAAUCCCCAAACCACGUCUCAGUUCGGAUCGGAGUCUGCAACCCGACUCCGUGAAGCUGGAUUCGCUAGUAAUCGCGCAUCAGCCAUGGCGCGGUGAAUACGUUCCCGGGCCUUGUACACACCGCCCGUCAAGCCAUGGGAGCCGGGGGUACCUGAAGUCCGUAACCGAAAGGAUCGGCCUAGGGUAAAACUGGUGACUGGGGCUAAGUCGUAACAAGGUAGCCG
rnacentral:rRNA from 1 species